CGAGAUGUUUACGUAUAACGAAAAUUUGCAUAUAUCUUUGCGGAAUAAUGGCGAAUUUUAAGAAAAUGUAAACUUUCAACUCCAUUUUUUUAAAAACACAUCAUCGUAUUAAAGAUUAAUUUAAAAUGAAAUUUAAAAGAAAUGAUACUUCCAGUUUAAGCAAUAUUCAAGGAAAAUACAGAUAAAGAUACAAAUAGAUAGCCGUGUAUAACCCUUCCUAUACAAGCUAACAUUGCAGAAAAUAUUUUUGAUGUUUGUUGGUGGUUCCUUUCGUCCCUUGCAAUUUGUUAACCUACAGAUGAAUGAAUC